rnacentral:tRNA from 1 species
AAAGAUUUAGUUAAACCAAAUAACAUUAUUUUGUCAAAAUAAAAUUAUUAACCUCUAAUAAUCUUUA